GUUCUGCGCAUGCGCCGCCUCUGCGCGGCCUCUCAUGGGUCCAGUCCCAGAGUGCCCGGGGUCAGUCUCGCAGAGCCCUCGGGAUCAGUCCCGCAGAGCUCCCGGGGUCAGUCCCACAGAGCCCCUGGGUCAGUCCCACAGAGCUCCCGGGGUCAGUCCCACAGAGCCCUCGGGGUCAGUCCCGCAGAGCUCCCGGGGUGAGUCCCGCAGAACCCUCAGAGUCAGUCCCACAGAGUCCCUGGGUCCGUCCCACAGAACCCUCAGGGUCAGUCCCACAGAGCCCUCGGGGUCAGUCCCGCAGAGCCCUCAGGGUCAGUCCCACAGAGCCCCCGGGGUCAGUCCCGCAGAGCCCUCAGGGUCAGUCCCGCAGAGCCCUCAGGGUCAGUCCCGCAGAGCCCUCGGGGUCAGUCCCGCAGAGCCCUCGGGGUCAGUCCCACAGAGCCCCCGGGGUCAGUCCCACAGAGCUCCCGGGGUCAGUCCCACAGAGCCCCCGGGGUCAGUCCCACAGAGCCCUCGGGGUCAGUCCCACAGAGCCCCCGGGGUCAGUCCCACAGAGCUCCCGGGGUCAGUCCCACAGAGCCCCUGGGGUCAGUCCCACAGAGCCCCCGGGGUCAGUCCCGCAGAGCCCUCGGGGUCAGUCCCGCAGAGCCCUCAGGGUCAGUCCCGCAGAGCCCCUGGGGUCAGUCCCACAGAGCCCCCGGGGUCAGUCCCACAGAGCCCUCAGGGUGAGUCCCGCAGAGCCCUCGGGGUGAGUCCCGCAGAGCCCUCGGGGUCAGUCCCAGAGCCCUCGGGGUCAGUCCCAGAGCCCUCGGGGUCAGUCCUGCAGAGCCCCCGGGGUCAGUCCCAGAGCCCUGUCACGGCCUCCUGACAGCCUGGGCUGCCCCAAGGGCUCUGUCUGUGGAGUCCUUUCCAGGCACGGCUGCGCAGGAGAACUCCGAACAGCAGCCCGGAGUCACCAAGAGUGUGUCCUGACCUCCCGUUAAUGUUCUGAAUUAGGAAAAUUCUCCCAAUCUGUUGAUAAAAAUCCUCUCAAUAUGUUGAUAAAUGCACUGUUACAGUGUGCUGGGCUUUAC
rnacentral:lncRNA from 1 species